GCUCAGGAUGAACGCUGGCGGCGUGCUUAACACAUGCAAGUCGAACGAAGCGCUUGGAUGGAAUUCUUCGGAAGGAAGCUCAAGUGACUGAGUGGCGGACGGGUGAGUAACGCGUGGGUAACCUGCCUCAUACAGGGGGAUAACAGUUAGAAAUGACUGCUAAUACCGCAUAAGCACACGUGAUCGCAUGAUCGAGUGUGAAAAACUCCGGUGGUAUGAGAUGGACCCGCGUCUGAUUAGCUAGUUGGUGGGGUAACGGCUCACCAAGGCGACGAUCAGUAGCCGGCCUGAGAGGGUGAACGGCCACAUUGGGACUGAGACACGGCCCAAACUCCUACGGGAGGCAGCAGUA
rnacentral:rRNA from 1 species